GCUCCAGUACAUCUGGCUCCCCUCGGCAUCCUCAUUCUUCAUCCGCCAACUGUUUUUACAUUUUUUCCUUUAUUGUAUACAUAUAUCUUUGUUAUUUUGGUUUCUGUGCUUACAACAUCUAUUGCAUGUCUGUCCGUCCUGGAUAAAAUUGAAUUGAACUGAAGACAGCAUUUAACAAGGUUUGCUUUCCUUCUUUUAGACUUCCCGUGUGAGGCGUUCUCCAAGAGGUGUUGCCACAAGACGCAGAGGAGGAAAGCGGCAGGUGCUGGCAACACCUUCACCUGCCCGUGUGACCGUGUCCGCCUCCGGGCCCAGACCAGCGGUGCAGCAGGUUUGUCUUUGUUUAAAUAUAUUAUGUGAGUUAUCAUUAUGUGAGGUAGCAGGGAAAUGGUUCUCCUGUUUUCAUAUUCAGUAAAACCUUGUUUUUGAUUUUUGUGGCAGGUGGAGGCGACAGCCCAGGAGUCGCCCAGCGUGGUGCCAGGAGUGGUCGUCAGUCGAGAGGAGGUCGCCGCAGCGUGCCCUGCCGUCCCGGAGGAGCGACAGAAGAUCAGCAAAGCUAAGGCUGUUUUUGUUCCUUCUGUUUGUGUUCAUGAUGUUCAGUUGGAGUGUAACGCUAAUGCUGUGGCAACAGAGUCUAGCAGAGAUAGCAGCAAGAUUAAGCUAGCGAAGGUUGUGCGCGGAUCAUUUCACCAGGGCGAUGCGCGAUUUGUGUAUGGAGGAGUGCAGUGUAUGGCUAUAGCUUUGGUCAGCUUAGCCAAACACACGGUGAGCAGCGCGUUCUUGUGGGACAGGCUGGAUUUGGAUCGCGCGUUGGUUGAAGGUGAUGAGUUGUACACCAGUUUGCGUGACCUCAACAUCUUCAGCCAUGUGUCUAAUCUGCUGUCUGUGCCAGAUUUGCCACAGCAGUUGGAAUUAGACGGACAGGUGUUUAGGUUCAGCUUUGGUGACACAGUGUUAGGUGAAGUAGGCGUUACCGAAGGUGAACACAUCGACUUCGGUGUGUUCAUCAGCUUGCGGAAUGGACUGGAGAGGAUCUUCAGUCAGUACACCACAUGUCUUUUGACAAUGUGUGGAAACACCACUGCCAUCGUGCGUGAGGAUGGACGGUUCGCUGUGGUCGACAGUCACUCACGCAGUCACACUGGCU